CCUACGGGGGGCUGCAGUAGGGAAUAUUGCACAAUGGGCGAAAGCCUGAUGCAGCGACGCCGCGUGGGUGAUGAAGGAUUUCGGUUUGUAAAGCCCUUUUGUCAGGGAAUAAAAAAAUGAAUGUACCUGAAGAAUAAGCGCCGGCUAACUUCGUGCCAGCAGCCGCGGUAAUACGAAGGGCGCAAGCGUUGCUCGGAAUUAUUGGGCGUAAAGCGAGCGCGGGUGGUUUCUUAAGUCAGGAGUGAAAGCCCUGGGCUCAACCCAGGAAGUGCUUU
rnacentral:rRNA from 1 species